AUUUUGUUUCGCCGCCAUUUUGUGUCAGUGGUCCACGGAUCAGGACAGAGGAGAGUUCUUUGGAGCACAAACAAGAAGAGAAGAAGAAUAAUUUGUGGUCUGGAGUAGACAAGAAGAGAGAUGAGGAUCAGGAACACAGUUCCUAAGGAUAAAGGGAAGUCUAAAAAACAGGUUUAGAUUGUACUGUAUUCUCUUUGUGCUUUCAUGGGCAUACAUUACAGAUCCUGUAAUAUUAUUGCACUGUGUGCUAUUGAGUAGAGAUUUGACUUGAUUUGUCUGUGUGUGUCUGACAUAGCUGUCUGUGUGUAUAUGUGUUUGCCAUUGUGCCAUGUUUUGGCAGGUGGCAAAAGUAAG